AUUGAACGCUGGCGGCAUGCCUUACACAUGCAAGUCGAACGGCAGCACGGGUGCUUGCACCUGGUGGCGAGUGGCGAACGGGUGAGUAAUACAUCGGAACAUGUCCUGUAGUGGGGGAUAGCCCGGCGAAAGCCGGAUUAAUACCGCAUACGAUCCACGGAUGAAAGCGGGGGACCUUCGGGCCUCGCGCUAUAGGGUUGGCCGAUGGCUGAUUAGCUAGUUGGUGGGGUAAAGGCCUACCAAGGCGACGAUCAGUAGCUGGUCUGAGAGGACGACCAGCCACACUGGGACUGAGACACGGCCCAGACUCCUACGGUAGGCAGCAGUGGGGAAUUUUGGACAAUGGGCGAAAGCCUGAUCCAGCAAUGCCGCGUGUGUGAAGAAGGCCUUCGGGUUGUAAAGCACUUUUGUCCGGAAAGAAAUCCUUGACUCUAAUACAGUCGGGGGAUGACGGUACCGGAAGAAUAAGCACCGGCUAACUACGUG
rnacentral:rRNA from 1 species